GGGGAUGACACGGCUUCGACGGGUGGUAAACGCGCGGCGGGCUGUCCUUCCGAGCUGCCUAAUAUGCUCGUUAAUCUCGUUAGGAACUUGUAAAUGCGGACGAUUACACGUACGCGAUGGCGGCGUAACAGCCCCCAUCUGUCUCCUGUCAGGCUUGUCUGUCGGUUUGCCUGAGACAUCAUAUUAGACAGAAUAGCUACACCUAUUCCGGCUGGAUGGACUGUGGUGAACCUUGAUCAGCCUUGGCACUCCUCUGGCCUCGUGGUUUGGCUGGAGAGGAGCCGCGACAUUGAAAUAGAACCACUAUGAAGGUAGAUGCUCGACACGAGCGGCCAUUCGGACCCGGGUUCGACUCCCGGCAUCUCCAC
rnacentral:tmRNA from 1 species